AAGGUAGCUGCCCCCUGAUGGUACAGGAAAUAAUGAAGGACGGCACAUGAUGAGCCAGUGGAUUAAUAUUUGGCUCCUGAUGUCACCAGCAGGGGGAUGAUUGUAAAGCUCAAAUACCACAUAUUCCAGAAAACAUCAGGAACAAGUGUUCUUUUUCUAGCACCUCUUGAUGGCUGAGGAAGAUUGGGGAACAGAACAGCCCUACUAGAAUCUGGAAGCACACUUUAUAUGAAGCAUAUCUUUCUUGAUUUCUCAGUUAGAUCAAAGAAAGAUCAAAAUUCUUGUGUUAUUCGCAAUGAAUUUCUAACUACUAGUAUACCACAUUUCUUCAGUAUUCCAAAUACUGAGUACUGCCCAUCUGUCUG